GGAGGAAAGUAGGGGAUCGCAAGACCUCAUGCUCGUGGAGCGGCCGAUAUCUGAUUAGCUAGUUGGUAGGGUAAAAGCCUACCAAGGCAUCGAUCAGUAGCUGGUCUGAGAGGACGACCAGCCACACUGGAACUGAGACACGGUCCAGACUCCUACGGGAGGCAGCAGUGGGGAAUUUUGGACAAUGGGCGAAAGCCUGAUCCAGCAAUGCCGCGUGAGUGAAGAAGGCCUUCGGGUUGUAAAGCUCUUUUGUCAGGGAAGAAACGGUGAGGGCUAAUAUCCCUUGCUAAUGACGGUACCUGAAGAAUAAGCACCGGCUAACUACGUGCCAGCAGCCGCGGUAAUACGUAGGGUGCAAGCGUUAAUCGGAAUUACUGGGCGUAAAGCGUGCGCAGGCGGUUUUGUAAGUCUGAUGUGAAAUCCCCGGGCUCAACCUGGGAAUUGCGUUUGAAACUACAAAGCUAG
rnacentral:rRNA from 1 species